UGUGGGAAAUGCGCAGGGUGGUUCAGCCUCCAGGCUUGUCCCAUGAGUCAAGACUAAGCCAAAUGAAGUCAGGGGGCCCUGCCAGAGAUAAGAGAUGGCUUGGACCAGAUCUCUGGAUUCAUCACCUGCUGUCCCAAGUUCCUUCUUGCAGAAGCUCCUCCUCUGCAAUGGGUUCAGCCGGAGAAGUGCCAAGUUUCAGGAGAAGGAGAGGCAAGAAAUGAACAAGGAAGAUGGAGCCUCUGCAAACCAAAAUUAAUAAAGACUGAAUCCCUUCUCAG